CCUACGGGAGGCAGCAGUGGGGAAUAUUGCACAAUGGGGGAAACCCUGAUGCAGCGACGCCGCGUUAGUGACGAAGUAUUUCGGUAUGUAAAGCUCUAUCAGCAGGGAAGAAGAAAGACGGUACCUGACUAAGAAGCCCCGGCUAACUACGUGCCAGCCGCCGCGGUAAUACGUAGGGGGCAAGCGUUAUCCGGAUUUACUGGGUGGAAAGGGAGCGUAGACGGCUGUGCAAGUCUGAAGUGAAAGCCCAGGGCUCAACCCUGGGACUGCUUUGGAACCUGUGGAGCUAGAGUGCUGGAGAGGUAAGUGGAAUUACUAGUGUAGCGGUGAAAUGCGUAGAGAUUAGGAGGAACACCAGUGGCGAAGGCGGCUUACUGGACAGUAACUGACGUUGAGGCUCGAAAGCGUGGGGAGCAAACAGGAUUAGAUACCCCAGUAGUC
rnacentral:rRNA from 1 species